rnacentral:rRNA from 1 species
CCUACGGGCGGCAGCAGUGAGGAAUAUUGGUCAAUGGCCGGAAGGCUGAACCAGCCAAGCCGCGUGAAGGACGAAGGUGCCAAGCAAUGUAAACUUCUUUUGUCAAGGGACAAAAUCAGGCUCGAGAGCCUGACCGAGGGUACUUGAAGAAAAAGCAUCGGCUAACUCCGUGCCAGCAGCCGCGGUAAUACGGAGGAUGCGAGCGUUAUCCGGAUUUAGUGGGUUUAAAGGGUGCGUAGGCGGGCUGUUAAGUCAGCGGUAAAAGCCCGGGGCUCAACCCCGGCGAGGCGUUGAAACUGGCUGUCUUGAGAUGUCGAGAGGUAUGCGGAAUGCGCAGUGUAGCGGUGAAAUGCUUAGAUAUUGCGCAGAACUCCGAUUGCGAAGGCAGCAUACCGGCGGCGAUCUGACGCUGAGGCACGAAAGCGUGGGUAUCGAACAGGAUUAGAUACCCUUGUAGUC